rnacentral:lncRNA from 1 species
GUGAAGAUGCAGAUGAGACACUAAGAAGAGGGUGUCUGAGGUCUGGUUCCUUAAAAGCAGAGCCUGAGAUGGGGAUGCUUGGCAAGUGGUGGGGUACUCUCAGGAGGGGCCUGCUGAGGAGGGAGAAAAAGCAGAACAGGACAGGGAAAGAAGAUUAUAGACCCUGGGAAACGGGGUCAGUGGGGCACAGUGUUUAGCAGCCACUCUAUGACUUUCAUCUGAAGUCAGGAAAAAAACAAUUUUCCAAAGGAAGGGCUGAUCCCAGGAGAAAAGAAGAUUUGGUGUGGGAGACAGAAGAUGGAUAUCUACCAGGAUACUAGACAUGGGUAACUUCACAAAGCCCCUGAUUCUGUGACGAUGCGCAGCUCUCCGGAAAGAUGCUUUGAAGACAAAACAGGAUAGAGCACAUGGAUCUCUCCCGUCUCUUGCCUGGGUCACUGUAUUCCUCAAAAGAUAAAUGACCCUAGUCCUUUCUUUUUCAUACACAGAAGAUUACAUGUGACAGGGUUAGUGACUGUGCUUCUAGAAACUAUAAGCAAAUGAACUUUAGUGAUGUAAAACCAAAUGUAUUCUUACACCCAAACCUUGAUGUGAUUCUGCUUCAAUAUAACUUCUGAGUAACUUUGAUGUGAUUUUGCCCAUACUGAGCCCCCAUGACCUGGAUAUAAGCUGUGGGCUGAAACACUGGGCCAGACCGUCUUAGAGGACUGCUCCCAAGCCGGAGGCCUCGGCCUACAGUCCUCAUUAAGACUGCUGAAUACAACUAACUUGAAUCCUUUAAAAAAACAGACUUUUUUUUUCUGUUGUCGGCAAAUGCUUCAGAAUGGUCUGAUGAAAGUGAGCCAAUAAAAACGGUUUGUUGAAUUAGGUAUGGCUGAGAAAACCGUGAAGGUAUUGGAGAGAAAUUGUAACAAUCAAGAAAGAUGAUUCAAUCGGAUUGCUUUGCAAGUCACUUUCAUUCUUGCUCCAAUGUAAAGAAACUGAAGUUGGGUGUCACAGGGGAUACCUUAAAGGUAUGAUUUAUUAAGAGAGACAACACAUAGCACCAAUUAAGGUACCCAGAGUCAGAGAAGAGACCUUCGCUGUACAUCAAAGAUUCGCAAAUGAAUGUCAAUUUGUGUUUUAAGUUAAAAUAAAAAUGUUUAAGGCACAUAUGAAUCAUUUUCAUGAGCCCUUACUUUAGAUAAUUUUUUAAGUUAAUCUACCCAUUACUAGCUUUGCGUUUGUUGCAGGAGACAUGCUUCAACUCCACUCUGAGGAAAACACUCUGAGACUAUAGCAUGAUUCCUCACACACAGUCAGCUGCCUGGAGUGUUUUAUUUUAAGCUUCUCAAGAAAAUUGAAGUACAAAGGAACAAGUGCUUCCUCAGCAUCUUGGAAAUUGGGAUUAAGGGUCAAAAAGGUUGAGAUUUCAUGCUGAGAAUGGUUGAGCCCAAUCACAAAGAUCUAUGGGAGGAAAAAAGCUAACAAAAUUAAAUGAAGAUUUAGGAAAGUAAAUAUUCAAGCUUCACUGCUGUACCUCAGGGAAGCAUUGUACUGUUACCAGGACACGACAAUAUAGCUUCGAAGAUUAAAAAGGAAAGAACUGACAAAUAAGCUUUUAGCUAAUUUUCGGCAUAAGAAAGAUGUCAAAUUCUUGGUAACAUAAGAUCGCAGAUGCAUAAACUCCAGAGACUGCUUGGAGUUCCUUCUUCUUGUUGUCAUUUAACAGUUUAUUUAAUGCUUUGGGUACUUGGACACUUGUCACUUAAGAAAGAGUCAUUGUGUGGCUUUCAAGAUUCAGAAUCACUGAGGUUGAGUACCAGGCUUUGUAGGUUAGAAGACUGUUUUUGUAUCAUGUAUGUAUACACUGGCUUACUGUGGAUAACUUCGUAUUACCUUGGAAAUGUUCUAACCACAUCAAAGUAAGCCUAACCAAUAUUUUUUUUGUAAUGAUAAAUUUUCAAAUCAACAACGUAACCACACUGUAGCCUCUCUUUCUCCUAGAAUACAAAUCAUCCGUUAUGUAAUUAAACGAAAUUAUAAGAUAACACCAUGUUAUAUUUCUGAGCUUGUGUGCAUAAAGAAGAAAAUUUCCAG